UGGCCGUAAACGAUGUGGACUUGGUGUUGGAAUGGCUCCGAGCUGCUCCAGUGCCGAAGGGAAACCGUGAAACGUGCCGCCUGGGAAGUACGGUCGCAAGGCUGAAACUUAAAGGAAUUGGCGGGGGAGCACCACAACAGGUGGAGCCUGCGGUUUAAUUGGACUCAACGCCGGGAAGCUCACCGGAUAGGACAGCAGAAUGAUUGCCGGGCUGAAGACCCUGCAUGACUAGCUGAGAGGUGGUGCAUGGCGUCAGUGACU
rnacentral:rRNA from 1 species